UUUUUUUUUUUUUUUCCCAAUCUGUGGGUUGCCAAUUAUUCCUAUUGACAGUAUCUUUUGCCUUACAGAAGUUUUUCAGUUUCAUGAGGUCCCAUUUAUCAUUGUUGAUCUUAGGGCGAGAGCUAUUGGAGUUCUGUUCAGGAAAUUAACCCCUGUGCCAAUGAGUUCGAACCUCUUUCCCACUUUCUCUUCUUUUAGAUUCAGUGUAUCUGGUUUUAUGUUAAGUGCCUUGAUGCAGUUGGACUUGAGCUUUGUGUAAGGUGAUAAAUAAGGAUCUAUUUUCAUUCUCCUACAUACAGACUGCCAGUUAGACCAGCACCAUUUAUUAAAUAUGCAGGGUUUUUUCCACUGUAUGGUUUUGGCAAAAAAUCAGGUGUCAGAGUUCAAGUGUCCAUAGGUGUAUAGGUUUACUUCUGGGUCUUCGAAUCCAUAAACCAGAAAGGAACCCAAAGAAAUCAAGUCUUAGAAAGAAAAGUUUAGAAUAACAAAAUAGCAGAAAGAGUAAAAUAUGCAAGUUUUUCAAAUUUUAGUAAGACGCUGCAAUAGAUUUAAUACUACUGAAAACUGAGCAUAUGUUGUGAAUGAUAAAAUAUCAGUAAACCACUGUGUUGCCUCUUGAAGGACUGAAGAGUUAUUUGCUCAGACGUCUGUUUCUAACAAUUUGUAUGAACUCUUCAAUAGUAGUUCAUAAUUUAUAGUGGUGGACAGAGUGUAAAUGUAGAGCUCCUCUUAAUAUGAUUAUGUAAAAUAUCUUGAAAGGCAUGAGAGCCUUUCUAAAUGGCAUGAGUUUGUUUUAUCAGCCGCUUGAUAAUCUUGAUAGCCAAGUGGCACAUUUACUGUUUCACUCAGUAUAAGUUUACAGACGUUCAUAUAAUAACCCAGCAACUCCUCUGGAAAUGUCACUAUAAUUUAAACAUUCCUAUUCUAAUCACUUUUCAUGAACUUAGCCAUUUAUCUAUCCAUCCUUCUUUUACUCAACACACACACACAAAUAGGUUAUAACCUCUGAAAGUUGGUUUCAAGCAACUUCUUGGUGGUGAGAUCCAGUUUCACUUUCAUUAUAAAAGGCUUUGAACUCUGAAUUAUGUACAGGUGAAUAAAGGAACCAUUAUUCAGUGUAUUGAAUAAACAGGGAAUCUCUGCAGUAUUUUCAUUCUUAUUCCAGUGACCCCUGUCGAGUUUGUACACUUUAGUUACCUGAGGGUAUCUAAUUUAUAUUAUCUUUUUGCUUUUCUUUUUCAUGCUUGAUUUCUCUUAGGAAUUUCCAUUUUUCCCACAUAGAUGAACAUGCUAUAACCAUGGCUUCAUUACAAUUAGUCUUUAUAAAAAUAAUACAUGAAUAUUUGAUAAACUGAUUUAUCCUUAAACUAGUUGCUGUGAGAGGAGUACAGUGUUUAGGCCACAAUCAACAGAUAAGAAAAAAAAUAGAAAUUUAUUUUUUUCUAAAGCAGUGGUUCUCAACCUUCCUAAUGCUGCAUGUGAGUGACCCUUUAAUACAGUUCCUCGUGUUGUGGUAAUACCUGAACAUGAAACAAUUUUCGGUGCUACUUCAUAACUUUAAAUUUGCUACUGUUAAAAUAAGUUAUAUUGUAAAUAUCUGACAUAUAAGAUCCUUGUAAAAGGGUAGGUUGACCACAAAGGGGUCACAACCCACAGGUUGACAACCACUGAUCUAAAUGGUGAUUUGAUUGCUAGUCAUACAUAGAAAAUGUAUGCCCUAAAACAGAAGCUAAAAAAAAAAGCUCAUAUUUCCAAUUGUAGGAGAAGACCUGCAUUGUUCUUAUAACAAAAUUUGGCUCUUUGUCAGAAUCUCACAAAAUUCAGCAUCUUUACCUUUCCUGAUCUUCUCAAGAUUAUUGAGAACAGAAGCCAUUUUGUUGUCAGAGUCCCUGAGGAAGAGCAGGAGCAAGUUCACUGGCUAUAGUAGUUCUGAAACUUUAUUGCCCAUCACAAACAUACUUGAGUGACAUGACACUAUGUAGGUUCCUCAGGAUCACACCAGUUUCUGAGGGAAUCAGAUCUGUUCUUUCAACAUCCACUAGGUGAAAACUCUGCAGAGUGGAUGGGGCAGAACUUCUGGAACAAGUCCUUCCGGGAGCAUUCAUGCAGUCCGUAACAGAUAGUGUAGACUUGCCAUUGGACAGCACCCUGCACACAGGAACUUAAGUGUGUUGUCUACCUCAAGAAGUGAAAUGUUGGAGCACUAAGGAAAGCUGCAAGGGUAGCCUGAAGAAAGCAGCCUGGCAGUAGAGAGAGAAGAACCAGAAGAUAAAAUAAUGUGCUGGGAUGUUUUUCUCUUGCAAUCUUUACCUUAAUAACAAAGGUUAUUUUGCUUUUAUUUUGUAAAACAGAGUUGUGCUUCCUAAGUAUUUAUCUAAUUUUUACAGCUGCUUUUUUUAGAACGUCUUCUAAUGAUUCAUUUAUAUAAAAGUCAUAAACAAAUGAGUCCUGAGACAUAAAGCUGAGAAGUUAAAAUAGAAAGUACUCUAAAGUAAUGACCUCGCAGCCUAAUAUACCCUGAAAUUUAUACUAUGUGUCUCUCAUUCUCAAAGACUCUACCCAAGAGCAAAGUGGAGAGAUGCAUCCUCAGGAUACAGCCAAAGUUAGGUGACAUUGGCAGCCAGCACGCUCACUAAACAAGUAGGGAUGAGGGAAUUAGUUCACUGUGAAAAUACUAUUCAAUUUCAAUGUUUUCUAAGGACAAUUUGGUGAUAAUAUACAGGAAAGUGCAUAUCUCAUUUUCUUCUUUAAAAAAUGUGUCUUUCCCUGUCUUAGUAGCAGAGUAAUAAAUAAAAUACCUUCUUUGAAUUUGCAUUCUAAGUUUUCGAGGCAAAACUUAAACAUAACUGCUGCCACCUGGUGGCAGGAAUAAAGUAUCCCUGUCUACUGUGUUUUAUCUUACAGAAAGACAACUUUUUAUUUUUAAAAAGAAUAAAAAUCAAUAAUCAAUAUUAUUAUAUAAAUGAAAAGUGGAUAUAAAUAUUUGUUAGUAUUUGUUUGAUAGGUAACCACUUGCUAUUUUUCUUUAGUUAAUCUCAGACUUCUUUAACAGUAUCCCAGUAAAACUUAAUUUACACUCCAUGAUGGUUCUUUUUUCAGUUCUUUGAUAAUAACCAUAAAUAAUAUCAGAUUUCUAACUAAAUCAUUUGAUAAUCAGUUUUAUUUUUUACUGUAUAGCCUACAUCCAGGGCUAUUAAUAAGGUGUUGGGCAUCUGACCUUUUCUAUUUUGAACUGCUUUUCAGAGUUAUCACUUUUUCCUAUUGAUGUUUAGAUGUGUUUAGUAUAGUGGUGGUGCAUGAUUUCAACCUCUAUACAUAUAUAUCAUGAAGAAAUAUUUUAAAUGCUUAAAAUUUGUGUGCCAAUGAAUAUGACCACUGUCUGGAGGUGCAUGUAGGUUAGCCAGAGGGCAACUUGGGUAUUUUUCUUAGGCACCAAUCCAGCAUUUUAAUUUUGUUGGCACUAAUGAUUGAUCCCAGAGACUCACGAAUGAUAGUCAAAUGCUCUACUACUAACCUACAGCUCUAGACCUGACCCUUAAAACAGUUCUUUGGGGGCCUAGAGGAGAACAGGCUGGGCUGACAGGCCAGAGAGCACAUAGAUCUGCCUGCCUCUACCUCCCCUGAACUGGGCUUACAAGUAUACCUAGAUUUUUCUGUGUUAUUUAUGAGAAAAUUGAAUAACUGUAAUUAUCUAACAUUUAUGGAAUAUAUACAUAUGUAUGUAGUUGGUACAAAAAAUAAUCAGUUAUUCGAAAUUUCUCAUGAGGAAGCAGAUGACAGGAUUUCUUGUAUUUCCUGUUAUUCCCUUUAGUUUACCUGACUUCCUAAGGUGGGAGAAUGGAAAAAUCAAAAAGAAAAACUGGGAAAUUAAAACAGAGGGUGAUAAAGACAUUAUUAACUUGACCAAUUGGGGAACAGCAAUAAGAAUACUUAGAAUUGAUUUUUUUUUUCUUGUUUAUUUUUGAGUUCGGUUUGGUUGGAGUUUGUUUUAAAACAUGGUCUUACCAUGUAGCCCUUACUAGCCUGGAACUUAUGCAGGUCAGACUGGCCUCCACUCAUAAUGAUCUGCCUGACUCGCCAAGGAUCACUUGGGGGUGGGAGAUGUUCUUGAGGAAGGGGUGUUUGGGAGGAGCCAAAGAAAUGACUCCCAAGUUGGGUGCAAGCUGACAACCCCAUGUUCUACUCCUGCUGGCUCUCUAGACAGCUCAUCCAGAUAACUCAGCUCUCACAGACCAAAACCUAGUCUUUUAUUGCAUAUCAAUUCAAUCAUCCACUCUAGGUUCCUUUUGAUUAUCUCAUAAGUCAGCAUUUUAUGACCUUAGCCCCUGGAUUCUUAGAAAAGGACUUGUACAUUU
rnacentral:lncRNA from 1 species